AUCAACUCUGAAUUCACCACCUUGACCUUGGUUCACUAGAGUCAACUUAUCAACCAAAAGCACAUCGGAUUUCUGACCCUCUCUAAUCUCAUCCAGAAUACCACUCGUUAACUUCAACAUUCCCAAUUUAACACUAUUGUGAGUACUCUCACACACCAAAUUCAAGUCUCUAAACUGCUCAAUUAAAUCCAAUUCUUUAACCAUUAACAUAGACAUAUGCAAUGAUUUCCGACUCAAUGCAUCAGCCACUACGUUUGCUUU
rnacentral:lncRNA from 1 species